GCCGAAAUAGCUCAGUUGGGAUAGCGUUUGACUGAAGAUCUAAAAGUCCCUAGUUCGAUCCCUGGUUUCGGCA
rnacentral:tRNA from 1 species